rnacentral:lncRNA from 1 species
UGACGGUAGUCUCCCUGACUUAUGUAAUAAUUCUCAGGAAAAGACAAGAAUACUCAUAGAGGAAAAAUUCUCGGCAUUAACCACACUAUUGGCUGAGAUAUUGGUCACUCAACAAUUAGUGGAUCGACGUUUAGCUGAGAUUGAAAAGAAAGUGGGUCAACAUGGAACUGUAGGUCACGGAAAAGAUUUUAAAAAGGUUACAG